rnacentral:lncRNA from 1 species
AUGCACACUCCCUCAACAGAGGGAGUGGGGACGAUAGGGACUAUGAUGUCCUCUGGAUGCCGCCUUCCUGGAUUGUUUGUUUGGAACGUCUCUUCCAUUUCAAGUUUCCCUGUGAUGCUCAUUGAAACCAGAUGGCACUUGCUCAGCAGUUUGGAGGAGAAGACCUGUUCCCCUGCAGGUGUGGGCCUUUGGGAUCAUUACCCUCCCCAGAUCUGGCAGCUCCAUCAGGAUGAAGCAUAUGGAAUGGAAAGCCCUCUGUCAACGUGGCUAUCUUUGGAAGUGAUUGCAGCUCUCUUGCUUCAUUCUCGCACACCUCUGGAGCCCUUGGUCUCAGUUAGAAUCCCAGCCCUGACACUUAAUGAGGUGUGUAACUUGUUCAAUAAUCUAACUUCUAUGUACCAUCUUUUUAAAAAGGACAAUAAUAGCACUACCCACACAGCACUGUCGCAAGGAUUUAGUGAGUUAAAGUGUGCGUAGUACAUAAAGCAGAGUGUGUAGAAGUAUCCAGUGAAUUGUUAUUAUCAUAUGAAGAGACUAUUUGGUUGAUCUCAUCAAGGACAGAAAGCUCCUUGGGGGUUGAAACCUUGUUUGUAUACCAGUUACAAACUUCCUUUUGCUGUUAAACCCAGUCCUUAGGAUGCUCAGUCAAAUCCUGUGGACUUACUGGCUGGUCUGCUGAUGUGGAAACAAGGUAGGGUGUGACCCAUCUCCGGGCGAGUAAACUUUUGGGCACCUGCACAGUGUCCGAGCCUCAGGUACCACCGCUAAAUGGAUGGAACCCUGUGUCUGUGCCCAUAGCAUUGGUCUGGUCUGUCAUCAGAAAAGAAUCUUGCUGUCAGAUGAUCAUACAUCCUCCCAUAGUCUAGUUUAGUUUAGUUUAGUUUAGUUUUUUAAGACAGGGUCUUGCUCUGUGCCCUAGGCUGGAGUGCAAUGGUGUGAUCAUGGCUCACUGCAACCUUGACCUCCCAGGCUCAAGUGAUUCUCCCACUUUUGUCUCCCAAGUAGCUGGAACUACAGGCAUGCACCACCAUGCCUGGCUAAUUUAAACAUUUUUUGUAGAGAAGGGGUUUACCAGUGUUGCCCAGCCUGGUCUUGAACUCCUGGGCUCAAGCGAUCCUCCUGCUUUGGCCUCCCAAAUUGUUGGGAUUACAGACGUGAGCCACUACACCUGGUCCCCAGAGUGUAGAGGAUGGUGCAGGUUCUGUUUUUAAAUGUACCUGUUGAGUAUGUAUUAGCUCAAACAGAGUUUACCUGAGAUGUGCAUCUGGGGUCCACACUCUUUGGCACUGUCCCUCAUUUUCUUCCUCCAACAUUCUCCCGAUCUCUCUCUGUUAACCCCAACAACCUGCCACCCGUCCCUAACAAAGGAUUCUCAGCUCAAGGCCAAUUGGAUCAAGUUUUUCUCCUGCAGAAAUUGUGGGGAGGUGGCUUCGGAGGCCGACAAGCAGAACCCCACCCAGACUCAUAAACCUUUCUUUGGCUGGUACCAACUCCUCUAUUGCAGGCUGUGGUCCAAAUAGGUUAUACAAGUCUCUACCUCUUCUAGCUGAAGCUAACCUCCCAGGAAAAGGAUGAGAGGAGAAAGCCAUCCUGCCUGAUAUGUGGAUAACACCACCACCAGAGUCUCCUGUAAUUUCAACUCAAUGACAUGCAGCCACAUGACCUAAGGCACGUAUCUCCAUUCACAGGGUGUGGUCAGUACUCCGUGAAUGUCAGAUGUUCUUUUUUUUUCUUUUUUUUUUUGAGACAGAGUCUCGCUCUGUUGCCCAGGCUGGAGUGCAGUGGCCGGAUCUCAGCUCACUGCAAGUUCCGCCUCCCGGGUUUGCGCCAUUCUCCUGCCUCAGCCUCCCGAGUAGCUCGGACUACAGGCGCCGCCACCUCGCCUGGCUAGUUUUUUUUUGUGUGUGUGUAUUUUUUAGUAGAGACGGGAUUUCACCGUGUUAGCCAGGAUGGUCUCGAUCUCCUGACUGCGUGAUCCACCUGUCUCGGCCUCCUAAAGUGCUGGGAUCACAGGCUUGAGCCACCGCGCCCGACCACACACAUGGGUUUCUUUCGGUUCCCAGAAUGAUGGGAUGCCAGCUGCUGGCUGCCCCCAGGAAGCUUGGGAGCAGAACAGGCUCGGCUGUCCCAGAGGAAGAGCCUGGCAUUGGGCCAGGCGGCUCAGGAGGGCAGAUGAGCUCGGUGUCUCCUGUAUGCAGACCAGGUCAUCACAGGGACCUGCCUCUGCAUUUGCAUCCUCCAGGGCAUAUUUUCCCAGCACAUGCAGCAUCGGGAACUUGAACGUCCCUCUGCUUUUCCUUGUGUGAGACCCACCAACCCCGCAUUAGGAAGGAGCCUGAACAUUUGACGGAGCUUUCCCAUCACCUGUGAGCAACCUUCACGCUGCUUCCGAAGAAACAGACAUCCCCCUGCUGUUUUCUCACAGUGAGAGAUUCAACUUCGUCUUUCUCACAAUCCCAGAUAACCAUAUCUUCCCAGAUUUUGUCAUCUUCAAGGACUACUUGAUAUCUAGUUAUGAGUCAAACAAAACCCGAUUUAACUGAUAACUAACCAGCCGUCACGUAUCCCUGAAGAUAAACCUGGUUUAUCCUUUUUAUACCCUCUGGCAGAGCAAAGGAACAAGGAGUUCAGGAAAAGAAAAACAAACAAACACUAGAAACAGCACUGACAUAUGUCGUUAAAUACAAAUGUGACCAGCCUUGAUUACAAGUAUUGUUAUCCUCUUUUAACAGGCACCUACCCCGAACUUUCAUUAACUCCUGGUAGCUGAGUAGCAGCUUGUCUAAGCGAGGUGCGGGGAUUUUGUCAAAGCCUGCCUUAGUGUAAAAGGCAGGGCCACCCACCAUGAACUUCUCUCUGUGACUUCAUUCUUUAGCAGUGCUCAAGUGUAAAUAAACUUGUUUACCAGGAUCA